GGAUAGCUCAGUUGGUUAGAGUGUGGUGUUGGUAGCACCAAGGUCGCAGGUUCAAUCCUCGUAUGGGACA